rnacentral:rRNA from 1 species
UACGGAGGGUGCGAGCGUUGUUCGGAAUUACUGGGCGUAAAGCGCGUGCAGGCGGUCGAUUAAGUCCGGUGUGAAAGCCCGGGGCUCACCCCCGGAAGUGCGCUGGAAACUAAUCAACUAGAGUACGGGAGAGGGAAGUGGAAUUCCUGGUGUAGCGGUGAAAUGCGUAGAUAUCUGGAGGAACGCCGGUGGCGAAGGCGGCAUCCUGGACCGACACUGACACUGAGGAGCGAAAGCCAGGGGAGCAAACGGG